CCACCUUUUACCAACCUAAAGUUCCAACUCCAACUCAACCCUAAAUUGUCUAAAUCUUCUUCUCUCGCUAGGCCAAGUCUCUCUCUGGUUUCUAUACCCUUCUAGCCCCCCCUCUUUCUCCUAUGUAAAGACAUCAUAGGAAACUAUAAAGGCGCCGUGCCAUAGAACUUCUCCUCCUUUACUCUUCCGCGUGAACAACCUUACUUGGAAGUGUAACGGUUGUACAUUGAUCACUGCAAAGACAUCAUAGGAAAUUGUUGGUAAUCAAUUAACCACUGACUUUUCCCUCUCUCAAUCUCUCUCCCCUCUAUAUCUAUAUCUCUGCCUCAGUCUCUAUCUAUUUAAUACUUUUCCCGUUUCUUUUUAUUCCAAUCGAUUCUCUGAGGGUUUUCUAUUUUCUCUUUACUCCAAUCGAAUAUGGAAUCAUAGGUAUGAUUAAUCUCAAAAAGUUUUAUUUUUUGAUUGCUAGUUGCUACAAAGUUUGUAUUGUAAAUGAUGGAUUAUUUCCCUCUAUAUAGUGAUAAUUUGAUACUUUUUCAUGUUAUUUAUUUUUUUAAUAAAUAUAUUAAUCCAAUCAAUUUAUCUUUUGUUGGUUCGUACUAGAUUAUGGAUGUUAAUGCCAUCAUCCAUGGACAAGGUACUGCUCAAGUAGCUGGACAAGAUAUUACUGGAACCCAAGUUACUGAGCAAGACACUGCCCAAGCCCAAGUCAUUGGCAAGCGUUGCCGCAAGAACAAAAAAGGUAAACCCCCCAAAUCACAUAAUGAUAAUGCGGGGGAAAAUGGUGGUGGGAGGGUACCAUCAAGAGAUUGGAAUUAUUUUAAUAAAUUAGAAUUAAAAAAUAGCAUAAGGAAAGCUUAGUGCAAAUAUCAUCAAAAUGUGUAUGUAGCCGAUUCCAAGUUUCAUGGGACAAGUAACCUAUUGAGUCAUGCUGCAACAUGUGCAAAAAAUUCUUACAAUACUGAAGUGAAGGGACAACAAACCUUGGGUUUUCAACCUAAAAAAGAUGGAAAAGAGGGUGUAGAACUUGUGUCCUUGAGCUUUUCAGUGGGAAGCUGCUAGAAGAGCUCUUGCUGAGAUGAUUGUAAUUGAUGAGUUAUCCUUUACGUUUGUUGAAGGAGUUGGGUUUAGGAGAUUUUGUGGUGUCUUACAACCUAAGUUUAAGACCAUCCUAUCUUGUACCAUCAUAACUCGAGACAUUGUGGGAAUUUUUAAUCGUGAGAAAGAUAAGUUAAAAAAAACAUUAAGGGGUCGUAGAGUUUGUCUAACCAUAGAUACAUGAACAUCAAUACAGAAUCUGAAUUAUAUGUGCCUUCCUGCUCAAUUUAUUGAUGAUGAUUGACAAUUUCAGAAAAGGAUAAUUAAUUUUUGUCAAGUUGAAGAUCAUAAGCGAGAUAUACUAGGUAAAAAAAUUGAAAUGUGCUUGUUGGAGUGGAACAAUGAUAGCACAUUUACCUUAACAGUAGAUAAUGCUAGUUCUAAUAACAAUACUAUCAAAUUCUUGAAGAGGAAAAUAAAAUAUUUGAGAGGGACUAUUUUGGAGCAUGAGUUUCUACAUAUGCGUUGCUUGUGCCCAUAUUUUGAUCUAAUUGUGGGUGAUGGAUUUAAAGAACUAAACACUCUAUUGCUCGUGUGCAUGAUAUUGUGAGAUAUGUUUGACAUCCAAAAUAGGCUUGAGGUUUUGUAAAAAAUGGGUAGAAAGCAAAAAAAAUGAAUGUAAGAGUUUGUUGUGCAUUGAUGGACCAAUUAGUGGAACUUACCUAUCUAAGUUGGAAGCAACUUGUAAAUUUGAGAGUGCCUUGAGAGAAUGGAGGAGGAUGACACUAAUUUCAAAUAUCCACUAUUUGGAUUAUGAUAUUGGUGGCGAUGAGAUUAUAAUAGUAUAAGAAGCGUAACUUCUGCUCUUUCAACAAAGCAGAUUGGAAUAAUGCAGGGGUUUUUGUGAAUUCUUAAAACUUUUCUACAAUGCAACGAAGCGGGUUUUAGGCUCUCUUAUGUAUCUCAAAUUAUUUUUGAUGAAGAUGAUUGUGAUUCCAAAAAAUUUCAACAAUUAAUCAAUAGAAAGAGAUUUAUUUUGUCUUCAAUGGCAAAAAAAAUGAAAGAAAAGGUGAAUAAGUUAUAUAUGAUGUGGUACUUGAGUCUCGAAAUAAGUUGAGUAUUUGAAAUUUUGUUUGUCACAAUUCUUCAAGAAAAAUUGUGAAUGAGAUAACUAGUCAAGUAAAUAUUUCUUGAUUCAUUUAUAUGAGGUUUAUGCUUUAAUAGAUAAGUAAUAACUGUGGAAGUGCCUAGUGCAAGUGAAGUUCUAAGUGGAGGUAGAUGAUGACGGUGAUGAUCCACAUGCACUUAUAGCUGUCCACUUUAGCUUUUAUCUGGAGGAGGAGUCAAGUGUGUGCCAAACUGAGUUGACAAGUAACAGGGAGACUACUGUGAAGGUGC
rnacentral:lncRNA from 1 species